rnacentral:rRNA from 1 species
AUGGAGACCUCCCUGCGGCUGCGCGGCGCCGACAGCACCUCCGGGCAGCAGCUGGGCCUCCGCAUCCACGCCAAGCAGAAGCUGCCCCUCGCAUACAACGCGCUCCUCCAGGCUCACGCGGAGAUCGACACCGCCACCCGGAAGCCCAGCCUCCUCGCCAUCCUCGCAAGGCACUUCUUCCCACAGCUGUCGGCCAACGUCGGGGCGGGGGUGCAGCUGGAGAGGGGCAACAUCUUCAGGUACACCCUCCGGGCCAAGAAGGCCGUCUCAUUCACCGACGACGGCCUCCUCGGCCUCAACAUCAAGGGACGCCUCCUCGCAGACAAGAACUUCAAGCCGAGGAGGAAGAGCGGCGCCGUCGAGCUCGCCUGGACCAUACUCGACUUCAGAAGGGGCCAGGACGUCAGGAUCAAGGCCGGAUACGAGCUCUACCGAAAGUGCGAAAGUGCAUGCCAGUUCCUCUUCCGGGAAGCAAAAAGGGUUCAGAGCAGCACACACCUGUUACUCUCACCACUCAGUAGCUUAAGAAACCUUAGAUAUAUCAGCCCAGCACUAAAUAUUGUAUGUCACAUAUUCAAUGGGAAAGUGCUUGCCAGUUUCUCUCUCGGAAAGCGAAAAGCUCCAGAGCAGCACACACUUGUUCCUCACCGGUCACAUUCGCUCAAGAAACAUUACCGCAUACCAGUACCUGCCACUGGCCAGAUUAGUUCUUGUAUAAUAUCAGUACAUUGGCCAGUUUCUCUUUCGUAA